CAGUAGCCGCGGGAAUACGGAGGAUGCGAGCGUUAUUCGGAAUCAUUGGGUUUAAAGGGUCUGUAGGCGGGCUAUUAAGUCAGGGGUGAAAGGUUUCAGCUUAACUGAGAAAUUGCCUUUGAUACUGGUAGUCUUGAAUAUCUGUGAAGUUCUUGGAAUGUGUAGUGUAGCGGUGAAAUGCUUAGAUAUUACACAGAACACCGAUUGCGAAGGCAGGGGACUAACAGACAAUUGACGCUGAGAGACGAAAGCGUGGGAAGCGAACAGGAUUAGAUACCCCUGUAGUCCCUGUCUCUUAUAC
rnacentral:rRNA from 1 species